rnacentral:rRNA from 1 species
UACGUAGGGGGCAAGCGUUGUCCGGAUUUAUUGGGCGUAAAGAGCGUGUAGGCGGCUAGGUAGGUCCGUUGUGAAAACUCGAGGCUCAACCUCGAGACGUCGAUGGAAACCAUCUAGCUAGAGUCCGGAAGAGGAGAGUGGAAUUCCUGGUGUAGCGGUGAAAUGCGCAGAUAUCAGGAGGAACACCGGUGGCGAAGGCGGGUCUCUGGGCCGUAACUGACGCUGGAGGAGCGAAAGCAUGGGGAGCGAACAGG